AUAGAGCAACAGCUUCUAUGCAGUUUCUUGUUAGCCCCGUUAAUCUUUCUGGACUCGCCAAAGUUAGAGAAGAUUAUCGGGGUUUUCACUU
rnacentral:antisense_RNA from 14 species